rnacentral:rRNA from 1 species
GAUAAACGCUGGCGGCGUGCAUAACACAUGCAAGUCGAACGAUGAAGAUUAAAAGAUUUCUUCGGAAUGAACUUAAUUGGAUUAGUGGCGGACGGGUGAGUAACGCGUGAGUAACCUGCCUUGUACAAGGGGAUAGCCGUUGGAAACGACGAAUAAUACCCUAUGACAUCAAAUAAUCGCAUGAUAAUUUGAUCAAAGAUUUAUCGGUAUAAGAUGGACUCGCGUCUGAUUAGCUAGUUGGUAGAGUAAAAGCCUACCAAGGCAACGAUCAGUAGCCGGCUUGAGAGAGUGUACGGCCACAUUGGGACUGAGACACGGCCCAGACUCCUACGGGAGGCAGCAGUGGGGAAUUUUGCACAAUGGGGGAAACCCUGAUGCAGCGACGCCGCGUGAUUUAGAAGGCCUUCGGGUUGUAAAAAUCUUUUGUAUGGGAAGAAAAUGACAGUACCAUACGAAUAAGGACCGGCAAAUUACGU